GCAAGUCGAGGGGUAACAGGGGAGCUUGCUCUCUCUGACGACCGGCGCACGGGUGCGUAACGCGUAUACAAUCUACCUUUUGCUGAGGGAUAGCCCAGAGAAAUUUGGAUUAACACCUCAUAGUAUGUAUUAAUGGCAUCAUUAAUAUAUUAAAGGUUACAGCAAAAGAUGAGUAUGCGUUCUAUUAGCUAGAUGGUGUGGUAACGGCACACCAUGGCAACGAUAGAUAGGGGCCCUGAGAGGGGGAUC
rnacentral:rRNA from 1 species